rnacentral:rRNA from 1 species
GACGAACGCUGGCGGCGUGCCUAAUACAUGCAGGUAGAACGCUGAAGGAGGAGCUUGCUUCUCUGGAUGAGUUGCGAACGGGUGAGUAACGCGUAGGUAACCUGCCUGGUAGCGGGGGAUAACUAUUGGAAACGAUAGCUAAUACCGCAUAAUAGUAGAUGUUGCAUGACAUUUGCUUAAAAGGUGCAAUUGCAUCACUACCAGAUGGACCUGCGUUGUAUUAGCUAGUUGGUGGGGUAACGGCUCACCAAGGCGACGAUACAUAGCCGACCUGAGAGGGUGAUCGGCCACACUGGGACUGAGACACGGCCCAGACUCCUACGGGAGGCAGCAGUAGGGAAUCUUCGGCAAUGGACGGAAGUCUGACCGAGCAACGCCGCGUGAGUGAAGAAGGGUUUCGGAUCGUAAAGCUCUGUUGUAAGAGAAGAACGAGUGUGAGAGUGGAAAGUUCACACUGUGACGGUAUCUUACCAGAAAGGGACGGCUAACUACGUG